UAAAAGUUCUUUAAAUGAAUGGAAACGAAAACAUAAGGCUCUGAAUUUCAGAAAGGACUGGAAUGGGCAAAUAUAGGGGCACAUGUAAUAGACUUUUUAUGAGUUAUAUUUGGUUGAAGCAAAAUUUUAAUGUAAUAUGAUGUAGUAAAUAUAUGCCGCGGAAAUAUUUAAGACAUGCUUAAAAAGUGGGGAAGGGCCUUUUGGCUGGAACCAACCAUCUUCUGUUAAUUUGCCAAAAUGAUGAACGACAAAGAGAAAAGGGAGAGGCACCUGGUAUGUUCUCUAGGCCUUUUAGAAAACAUGGACUUGUUCUUUUGGCCACAUACCUGCAAAUCUAUAAGAAAGAUGAUAUUGGAGACAUCAAGGGAAUGGGUACUGUUCAGAAAGGAAGCCCCACAAGUGUUACCAUGGCAAAACUGCAAGAGUCUACGAUGUUACUCAGCAUGCUGUUGGCAUUGUAAACAAACAAGGUCAGGGCACGACUCUUGCCAAGAGAACUAAUGUGCGUGUUGAGCACAUUAAGCACUCUUAAGAGCCAAGAUAGCUUCCUGAAACAUGUGAAGGAAAAUGAUCAGAAAAAGAAGGAAGCCAAAGAGAAAUG
rnacentral:lncRNA from 1 species